GUGCAAAAGUAAUUGUGGUUUUUGUCAUGACUUUUAAUGGCAAAAACUGCAAUUACUUU
ensembl:miRNA